AUGUAAACCCUAAAUUUCUACCCUCUCACUCACUCAUACUCUCUCAGACUCUCAGUCACACUCUCUCUCUCUAUAAAAAUACCAAGUGCGCCGCUUGCUUAGUUGCUCCACUCCUCACCGUCUGAUCCUCUCUAUCUCUCAUCCUCUCUCAAUUCUUCGGUUCAUUCCUCUUCAUUCACUCGGGAAAUGGCUGAACUGGUUGACCAAAUAGGCUCAUCGGCCAUCCUCCUCCAAGGCUCCAACAAUAUCUAAUGUUAUGUUCUUGUUUUAAAAAACUCUAGUUACUGUAAUUUGUGCCUUUGAGGCAACUUUAUUUGGUCUGUAAAACUUAAUAAUUCGUUCCAACUUAUUAGUGUGUGCAAACUUAACUCCUAGACUUAUUAUAUUUUAACUCUUUAAGAGUUAAACUUUUGUGUAAGAUAUUCAGGUAUUUCUUAUCAGGAGCUGCUUGUAUGUUUGUAUAGGUUA